rnacentral:rRNA from 1 species
UACGUAGGGUGCAAGCGUUGUCCGGAAUUAUUGGGCGUAAAGAGCUCGUAGGCGGUUAGUCGCGUCUGCUGUGAAAACUCGGGGCUUAACUCCGGGCCUGCAGUGGGUACGGGCUGACUAGAGUGCGGUAGGGGAGACUGGAAUUCCUGGUGUAGCGGUGAAAUGCGUAGAGAUGUGGAGGAACACCAGUGGCGAAGGCGGCUUUCUGGUCUGUAACUGACGCUGAGGCGCGAAAGCCAGGGGAGCGAACGGG